GGGGGCGUAGCUCAGCUGGGAGAGCAUCUGCUUUGCAAGCAGGGGGUCGCCAGUUCAACUCUGGUCGCCUCCACCA
rnacentral:tRNA from 1 species